rfam:Triticum aestivum genome assembly, contig: Triticum_aestivum_CS42_TGACv1_scaffold_513989_6BS
AAAGUACUCCCUGCGUCUCAAAAUUCUUGUCUUAGAUUUGUCUAGAUACGGAUGUAUCAAGUCACAUUUUAGUAUUAGGUACAUCCAUAUCUAGACAAAUCUAAGACAAGAAAUUUGGGAUAGAGGGAGUAGUUG